rnacentral:lncRNA from 1 species
CUCUGGUCACAUCAGGGCUGUAUCACCAAGAGGGCAGUAAGGCUUAUAUGUUGAAAAAAAGUCCCAAAUAUGCAAAGAAUAAUUAACAAUGACAAUCUAAAAAUUGUAAAUACAGUUUUCUUUAGGGGGGCAGUUGCCCCCUGCCGCCCCCUCUCCUCCGCUGUGUAAGGCCCCAGGGUGACAUUUUUUGCAAAUGCCACUUCCACACUUGAUUAGGUUCAGAAUUUGAAUCUCGCAUGUGAUUGGCCAUUUGUAAAAAUAUGUCAAACCGGUUUGGGAAAUAAACAUUGCUGUAAGCUAAUUAUAGCCUGUAUUAAAAUAUUCUAUUAAAGUCAAUACAUGCUUGGGCAUGUAUUACUAACAUGUCCUGCAAAACUGAUUAAUAUGUUUAUCUCCUGAGAAAUUCGAUACCUUUUUCACCUGUAGGAGUAUUAAUAUUCAUGCUUGGUUGAGUUUAAUAGAAUAUUUUAAUACAGGCUAUAAUUAGCUCACAGUAGUGUUUAUUUCCCAAACAGGUUUUUCUUAAACAGGUUGUUUACAAAUGGCCAAUCACAUCCAAGGUCUAAAUUCUGAACCUAGUCAAGUUUGGAAGUAGGAUUUGCAAUCGAUGUGACCAGAGGCUCUCCGUUCUUGCCUCUUGUUUCUUUCACCUUGCAAAGAGCCUCUAGAACCAGGGUACACUUAAAAAUAACACACAGGCAGACCAAUUGCUGCAAUUGAACUAAGUACCAGUCAACAUAAGUCCCUGCCUGCUUGAAUCUAGGAAGUGUGGGGUUCAUGGGGCGAAGCAGGGUCACUGAGACAAAACCAGAUAUUCAUACAAUCCAACAAUUUUGAUUAUGCAGUGCUGAAAAGUAAAAACUACCAACUCCUGGGUUGGGGGAGGUGGUAAUUUACAUUGACUGGUAUUGUACACUAAAUAGAUAUGGGGUGCCAUUGAUCAGAAUCAUCAGAUGAACAGCUGCCAGUUCCGAUAUCUCAGGACUGCUGUGAUUCAAACAUGUUCUGGAGAUUAUGAGUACUAUUUUAACUUUGCUACACGCUCAUAUUUUGGAACAAUUUCCAAGGACAAACUGACUAUAAAGAUCUGUAUAAAAUAUAAAUCUUACUUUAAAAUUUCCAUCAUAGCAAAUGCAAUUCACCUGCCUGCAAAAAGGUUAAUCCACUUGGAACGUUUUCCGUGGUUGUGGACAUUCAUUCCACAUCGAAUGCAUCCUGUCCAACAUCAGCGAUUGCCCAGUUUGUCAAGCAACAACGUUGGCAAAUGUUGAAGCUCUUGGAAGGCCUUGGAAAGACAGCAAAUAUUAACGCUGUUUGCCUCGGCGACUCGCUUUGGAGAGGAC